rnacentral:lncRNA from 1 species
UCUCAGAAUACUACAAGGUACAGCCUUUCCAGCGCCUUAUCAAGUGCCCCUAGUCUCUCUGCGGUCAACAUGUGCAGUGUGUGUGUGUGUGGGGGGGGGGGGUGGAUGUGAAAAUGAGGCUCAUCUGAGCAUGAGAAGCACCUGGCCACCUGACCAUAAGGAUUCCAUGCGAGUCUCUGUUAGCCAGGAAGGUCUAUGUAAGAACUAGGUCAGUUCUUCUUCAUCAAACACCUGGCAGAGCCUCCCUCUGAAUGGAAGUUCAGCCAGAAUUAAGACUCUUUUUCUAUUGUUAACAUCUAUCAAAUUUUAAAUGAUCUAAGAUAAUUUUUAAGCGUAGCCGGGCUCAUAUUUCAUACUCAGAUAGAUGCAGCUUGAACAGUGCUAGGCACAUGAUUCAGCAAUUUCCCAGGGAUCUUUGCUUCUCUUCUCGCAGGGAUGGAUUAGAAAUAACCACCAGUAGUGACUCCAGAGGAGCUGGCCGUCUGCAGAGGCUGGAAUGUCUUGACUACAGCUGCUGACCUGUUGCUGUACACUGCCGGUCCCCCGUGAUGUCAGCCCCAGGUGGUCUUGCUUCUUCUCCAGCUCCUGAAGAAGAUGGAUCCACAAUGAGCCAUGUAAUUUCCCUCGUGCAUUUUCUGAGCCAGUGGUGGAUCAGAGAGCUAGAAGAGGCUUCAGAAGAUGCAUGAGUGGCGUCUCUUUCUUCCAACAGGGCUGCCUCUCUUAGCAAGGGGCAACUUCAGAUGGAAGGCUGCCUCCUGGCUGAAAGUGGGGAAAAGAGAAAUAAUCCGAAUACUUGGAAUUCCAAAAGUUGUGCUGUGCCAGGGAAACACAUACGAUAGAGCGUGCUGAAGUCAGUUCUCACCUUCCACCACGUGGGGUCCUGGGGACCAAACUCAGGUCAUCAGGCGUGGUGGUGAUUCUAAAUUCUGUCAAGUUGGCAGGAUCAACCUUUGCGCCAUCUCUCCCUGUCACUCAUUUGCUGAGCACAAGCCUGCUUUGACUUUACCGUGGAUCCAAAUUUCCAAGCAAGAAGAGGAAGAGAACUUUAUAAGAAUGGUGAUGGAUUCUCAUGACUCAACAGGAGGCUGAACUGAGGGGUUUGGAUCCAUGUCUGUUUUCUUUCUGCCUUCAAAUGCUAGCAGCUAACAUACUGGCUUCCCUUCCUGCUGGGACACAGCCCCUGAAGUACCUUGCUGUGUUCAGAGCUUGGGCGUCUGGCUUCAAGAAACUGUCUACUGGUUAAAAGACCUAUAGC